AUGCUGUUCAAAAGCCUUUCCUCACCCUUGCUGAUUUGUUUUUAUGAUUUACAUACACUCCUGUGGAGAUUUACAGAAUGGAUUGUCUGUGCAUUGUCACGACCAAGGUCCUUCUGGUUCCUGCAAACCGUGAUGGAUCUAAGGCAGCAUCUCCAAUCUGCCUUGGAGCAGAGCAGAGGCUCCUCAGAGCCAUGGCAGAUGCCCAUCCCACAAAUGCUCAGUCGAAACACCUGCCUGGAUACCCAUUCAGCACUCUACCACUUUGGCUCUUUUAGAAAGACAUGUCUAACUCUGAAGAGACCUUCCCACAUCAUCUGUGUUAACACACGGUGGCGGUGGCCUGCAGAAGUGUCUGCCAAGUCUUCCCCGCGGCCACACUAUUAUCUCCAUGUACCUUGUAAGACAACAGAGACUGCUUCAAAGCCAGACGAGUCACUCCAUUUCCUAAUCAGUGGAGUGUGGACUCCCUCUAGCCUCUCUCUUGUUCUCUGCAGCAGAAACGGUUUGAUUCAGCUUCUCCGAAUUUUCAGAUCUUGCUUGCUUCGUUUUCCAGCCUGCACCAUGCUGACCCCUCUGCUAGCUUUAGGCAGCCUCCUGUGAGAAGUGGGUUUCCAGGUCAACACACAGCUCUUGCUGGCAAUCAAAGGGAGGAGACUUUCUAGAGAAAUGGCAUCUUUUGCAGCGUUAUGCUUUUUUGGAGUUACUCCCUCAAGGCCUGGAUCUGGCCAACUUGAGCGCACUCACCGUGGCACAUUAACAGGAUGGGCAGCUCAGCGUUUCAUCCUUUGUGAAUGCUGAAGGCAUUACUCACAGAUGAAUGUCUUUAAACAGCUGAGCCUUUUGGUAAGGAGAGAUGUGCCACACUAGCUCAAUUCUAAGCUCAAUUAGCUUGUAAAAAUACAAGAAUAGCUCCCAUGACUGCCUGGGGGGCAAAGGCUCUUGGCUUGGACAGAGUGCUGAGCAGGGGAAGAGAGAGUGGAUGUGACUCUCAUCUCCAUCUCCCUGGACAGGAAUAGGUUAGCAGAAGCAGCUCCUGGGGCUCUGUGGAAAAAGGUACAGCCCUUCAGGGAGGAAUUGUGCCGGAGGACAAGUGAUGACACGGUUUACCUCCCCAGCACCUCUCAGUAAUCACAGUGUGCUGAUGUGCACUGUGCUAAAUUGUCAUCUCUGCUUACACAACGUUAGUGCCUGAGACAAGUGAAGCAUCAAGCUGGGCACCAGGAGCAUGUCACAACUACACCAAAACAUGGGCUAUUCUCCAGGAAGAUUCAACCCCAAGUGCUGUGUGUUCUCACAACUGUGUGUUCUCACAACUGAGCAAAUACAAGAGGUUCCCUGGGACUCUGAGGAGUACACUUGGCUUUGUCUAGGAGAGCAUCAUGUAUGGAUACUGCCCAUUAACAUUCAGUUUUGGCACUGCAGAUGCAUCCAGACAGAAAUUAAAAUGCAGUUUUGGAAGGGGAAGCCCAGCAAUCUGAGUCUGGUUGAACUAUGGGGGUAUCCAAUUUUAGUCCUUUCAAGUGGCUGGGUUUGCAGGGAGUCUCAUCCCUUGGAGUAAAUGGAUAAGUAGGAGAGAUACUUUCUGUGCUCGACACUUAUAACUAGGCCACUUAUGUACUUGCUUAAAUUUGAAUUGAGGCAUUUAAUUUUAGGAACUCAAACCUGAACAUUUUGUGCAGAAUGUCCAAACCCAGCUGCUAACUGUGGUUUUAGAACACAACUUUUCUUUUUCUUUCUUUCUUUCUUUCUUUCUUUCUUUCUUUCUUUCUUUCUUUCUUUCUUUCUUUCUUUCUUUCUUUCUUUCUUUCUUUCUUUCUUUCUUU
ensembl:lncRNA